rnacentral:rRNA from 1 species
AUACGUAGGGUGCAAGCGUUAAUCGGAAUUACUGGGCGUAAAGCGUGCGCAGGCGGUUUUGUAAGACAGAGGUGAAAUCCCCGGGCUCAACCUGGGAACUGCCUUUGUGACUGCAAGGCUAGAGUACGGCAGAGGGGGAUGGAAUUCCGCGUGUAGCAGUGAAAUGCGUAGAUAUGCGGAGGAACACCGAUGGCGAAGGCAAUCCCCUGGGCUUGCACUGACGCUCAUGCACGAAAGCGUGGGGAGCAAACAGGAUUAGAUACCCUGGUAGUCCACGCCCUAAACGAUGUCAACUGGUUGUUGGGUCUUCAUUGACUCAGUAACGAAGCUAACGCGUGAAGUUGACCGCCUGGGGAGUACGGCCGCAAGGUUGAAACUUAAAGGAAUUGACGGGG